CAGCCGCCACGGUAAUACGUAGGGGGCAAGCGUUAUCCGGAAUUACUGGGUGUAAAGGGAGCGUAGACGGUUAAACAAGUCUGAAGUGAAAUGCCGGGGCUCAACCCCGGAGCUGCUUUGGGAACUGUAGAACUGGAGUGUCGGAGGGGUAAGCGGAAUUCCCAGUGUAGCGGUGAAAUGCGUAGAUAUUGGGAGGAACACCGGCGGCGAAGGCGGCUUACUGGACGACAACUGACGUUGAGGCUCGAAGGCGUGGGUAGCAAACAGGAUUAGAUACCCGCGUAGUCCCUGUCUCUUAUAC
rnacentral:rRNA from 1 species